GCGGACAAAGUCACCGGUUGGGAGAAAAAUGUUCCAGAGGAAUAGCGAAUAACUUUGUGAAAUGUUGAAGCACAUCCCUCCCCAUCACCCAGACAGAUGUAAAGAAGUUGGGAACCUCCGGUCCAGCAGGAACAUCACCCUCUCCCAGGAGUUAGUUAGGAGUUUAAUCAGCAGCAUCACUGUGGUUAGAUGGAAGUAGAUCCACACAUUGUUCUCUAUCAUGGAGAAUUGUCCGCUCAUUAUAACUCAUACAGCUCAUUGUAAAAUACAGAUGUGGGUGAUUUCUGUCCCAGGGUACUGCACUGUGUACACGUUUUCUUUCCUGCCAGCCCAGCACAAACACCUUGUUCAACUAUUCAUGGUCCUCAAUGUAGAUCACAAUUAGUUGAAUGAGGUCAGAAAGGGUCUGGAACAAAGAAUACGUAACUGUCAUGAUCCUUCAUGUACCCAACAAGCUUUCGAGUGUUGGAGGUUCAUCCCCUUGAUGUCCCUCACUUGGGGAUGACUUAUUUUCUACAAUGGACUGUGUUCCAAGGGUUCAUGCACAGAUACAGGAAACCAAUAAGAGUUUAUAUUAUUAAAAAUGACCAGUGCUGAUGUCUCCCCACGGUUCUGGUUUGGAGGCUUGGACAGGAUGCAGUUCAUCUGUCUAAUCCCCUGCAAGGAGAAACACAACAAUUGUGGUAUCCUGGGAGGUCUACCCCGGGGGUUGGUGGUGGAGGGGAGGUACGUGCCGUGACGUUGGCUCCCUCUGCUGGGAGUACCCGGAAUGGACACGCUGAUGGCAGCAAUUAGGGGAGAGUACCAACCAGCCGUGCAGGCCGCCUAAAUGGAGCGCUGCGGGGGAGGACAAGCUCCCGGGGUACGGAACCGAAUACGAGGAGGCGGCCCUGAAGAAGGACCUGCCCUGAAGAAGGACCUAAGUUAUGUUAUGUUUAUUUUAUGAUGUCAAGUAAAGGUGUUUUCUGAUAGGGAGGUUCUGUCUCUGUGCACACAAACACAACACGGUUUUACCACAUAAUGUAUUCAUUUAAUAUAUAUUCCUGUUUGAUAUGCAUGCAUAUAAUUAAUUUGGACAUGUUCUCCUUUAUAAUAUGCCAGGGUUUGUUUUGUAUCCAACACAUUUAGCUUACAUUGUGAUGAAGCAGUGUUGUAGGACUCCAGUUCCGUUUCCAGACCACAUAAUGAGUGUCUUGGUGUCGGAUACAUUUGCUUCCAUCUGUCCAAGAGUGUUUCUCAUCCAUUCUCGUCUAAUUCUACUCAUUCGUGAUAUUGGAAUAUUUUGGGAGGUGAUGAUUGACAGUCGACUCCUGAUACUUUGUAUAAGUGAAAUCUCUCUGAAGUGAACUAAAUUUGUUUUUCUAGUCACAAUUCAAUAACAUUCUCCUGAUAACUGCAUUUCCUGGUUUAGUGCAAGCCAGUGUUGUAGUACUCGGAGUCCAGUAUCGAGACCACAAUUUGAGUGUCUCGGUCUUGACUCGGCGUCGGACAUUGAGAACUCAUCAUUUUAAAAACUCCUAAUUAUCAUCUUCCAUUCUGUCAGCGCAUAAAACCGCUUUGUCAAAUAUAGACACUCCUUUUUGAAACAUAUCUUAAGUCUGGAUUGUGAAAUUGUGACUUUUUGUGUGAGUUAAACGUAUGAACUUUAAAACCA